UUGUUUUAUACAGUAACAUAAAUCGAAAAUCAAAUCAGAUUUUCUCUUUACUCUCUCUUCUCUCUACUCUCCGGCGACAACAGAAAAUCAAUCAGAUCUGAAACUGUUUCUUCACAAAAUUUUUGCAUUGAAGAACAAGAAACAGGUGCAUUAAGUUUUACUUCGGUGUAUUGAAGUUGAGAGGAAGAAUAACGCAUUCGUUAUUUCUCAAUUCGUUGAAAUUGAUUCAAUAGUUUUCAGAUCUGACGAGAGGAAGACAAUGUAUUGAAGAAUAAAAAAUAUCGUGAGAAGAGGAAUAAGACGGGUUUGGAAAAUAAAGAAAUCAACAUAGGUUUUCGUGGCUUCUGUGAGUGGCAUUAUCGUUGUCCGCUACCUUUCAGAUUUCAUUACCACUCGUGUUGAUGUUGAAACUACACUUGGUGAAUUUAAGGUUGAAGUUCGCAGGCAAUGGAAGCAAUGUGCUACACUUAGUAUUUGUUUCUUUUUCGGGGAAGGUGGGAAAGAUCUUCCGGUUGACUGUGAUUAUUGGCUUCAAGAUCUUACAUCGCUCACACCUAGUAAAACCAAGACUACUUUUGAUAUUUUCUUGUGUUACUCAUGUAGCCUCCUCAUCUAGCUCUAAGGAAGAUUCUUCUAUUUCUAAUGGUUCUAGUACGUCGUCGAGAAACAAUCAUUCAGUUGGAAUGUAUUUGGAAGAUAAGAGCAAGCCCGCAAAAUCUUUGUUAUCGGAUGGUUGGCCUAAGCUCCUUUGUCAGCCUAGUCAUGUGUUUGUUGAAGGAGGCAAGGAAGUCAGGUUUGCUUGCACCAACUAUCAUCUUCGCACUGGUUUCAACAUGAUUGUAACAUAGAAUGAACGUUCUAGGUUCACGGGUAAGUGUGUAGUAAAAA